AAACACCUCAAGAAAUAAACCGAAAGGAAAAAAAACUCAAGAAGUUUAAAUCUAAAAUCACCUUUUUCAAUUUUUGUUUGAUUUCUUUCAAUAUGCGUGUGUAUUUCUGGAAAAAAGAAGAUCCAAUUUACAUCGUUUCAUUCGGUUUUUAUAGCCGAAGAAUCAAUAAAAAUAAAAGGGAAAAAAUAAAUAAAAAAAUCCUUGUUGUAAUCUGUUAUUAUUUGCUGUCAAUUAUUGUUUACUAUUUUCUGUUAUUCUCUUCUCGUACGUGUGGAGGUCGUGGUGCUGUUGACAUGGCCAGGCCGUUCGUAGGCGUGUCGAUGCGGAGCGUGAAGCAACGUCGCGCGUGGAAGCUGGCAUGAAGGCAGCAGCGGUGUAAGGGGGAAAGGGAACCCUAGGGUUCUGAAAAUAUUAAACUUCGGGCCUGGGCUAGUUUUUUUUUGUUAUUGGGCCAUUUAAUUUGUAUUUUGGGCCUUGUUAUUUUGAAUUUUGGGCUUGGAUAUUAUUAUGGACAUUGGACUUUAAUUUUGGUAUUUUUUUAGUUUAUUUUGGUUUUUGUAUGGGCCUGGGCAAAAAUGGGCCAUUACACUUCUAGCCCUAAAAUCUAGGGUGUUACAGCUACACCAAUCCUGUCUUCCACAUUUUUUAUCUUUUAGUCCCAAAAUCAAGCUAUGUCAUUUUGUUUUCAUCUUUAAUAAAUUAUUUACACUUAUAUCUUCCCUUUCAUUUGCAUUUAUACCUUACAUAUUUAAUGUCAAUUAUGCACUUUAUUUUAAUCUUUUCUAUUUAUUCACACUUGUAUAAUUUUUACUUAUUCUUAUUUCGUUUUUAUUUAUUUUCAUGUCUAUUUAUAUUUAUUUUUUUACACAUUCCCCUUACAUACAUUUUAAUAUUAUUUAUUUAUGUUACUCUGAUUCUUUUAUUGUAUUAUGAAAAAGGUGUAUUAUUGUUAUUAUUAUCAUCAUCAUGUUAAGGUCUUAUUUAUUUCAUUUAUUUAAUAUUUCUUUUUAUUAUUGCCAUUUUGAAAGAGUUUUAACUUUUCAUUAACUUUAGCCAAUUUAAUUAUUAUCCUAUUUUAUUACUAUUCAUUUUAAAAGAGGGAACUUUAAGUCAUUUUUUCAUCCUAUAAUUGUUGACGUGAAGUUAGUUAAGUAGGUGUUACAUUUUAAUGAAACUAUAAGGAUUUUACAUUUGGAUUUAAGUUAGUCCUUAAGAUCUUAUCUACCAUUUACCCUAGAAAAAUUAUAAAUAAUAUGUUGGAUUUUUUUAAGGUUUUAAACUAAUUUUAAAUAUCGUAUAGGAUUCCUUUUUAGAAUGUUAAAUUAAUAUGUAAAUAUUCUUUAGGACUUUAUUCAUGAUUAAAAUUAAAGAUUAUUGUAGGUGAAUUGUAAAUCAUGAGUAGGUCUUUCUAAGUAUUUUAUUUUAGAAACUUUUCAAGAAAGCUCAUAAAUGUUAUUUAAAAUAUAUUAUUUUAGGAUUUUGAUGAAUUUAAAUCUUAGAUCAAGAAUUUUAAAGUAAGAUAAAUCAUAAACCCUGCAUAGGAUACUUUCAUAAGAUCUUGAUAGGUUCAAUGUUAUUAAUUAAAUCUUUUAAAUAAUAAUAAUAAAAGAUCGAAUAAGUUGUAGAUGAAUUUUAAUAUUUCUCUUAUUUUAUUGGUAAUUUCUAGGUUUUUUUAGAAUUCUAAAAUAGAAUUAAUUUUAGGAAUUAAAAGUAUUUUACUAUAAUUAUUUAGGUAUCCUUUAGGGUUCCCGUUAAAAGUAAAAAUCUCUAAUUUGUAAAAACCUCUAAUUUAAGUUUUAAAUUAGAUAAGUUUAAUGAACACAUCUUAAUCGAGUUACAAGUAAACCGAAGGCAUUUUCUUUAGAGUUUUUAUUUAAAAUUUCCAUAAGAUUUUAGCCUAGAUUAAGACAUUAAUAUGCUUAAAUAGAAAAAAUCUAGCUUUUAGGACCCCGUAGGACUAUCCCCGGAUAGGCGUGGUGGGGGUGCCAUAACCUUCCCCAUACAUAACAGUACUCCUGAACCCGAAAUUUGGUGAUGAGAUCGAGUCUAGACUUUUAGGAUUUUUCCGUAGUAUUAAUUCUAGAGUUUUAGACGAUAGGUGGCUUACCAACCUAGCCCUAAUUGGUUAGUGGAGACUCUACUUUAAUUUAUGCCCUUCGUGUCUAGCUUUAUUUACUAGGCCCCCAUACUCUUAUGUAGGCAAUGUUAUGACAACAGUAAUUAUCAACUGGUCAACCACAAACGAAUUCAGAUUCUGCAGAGGUCUUCGUCAAAGAGAUUUGUUAUCCCUAUUCUUAUUUAUUUGUGACGGAAGUGCUUCAUUUGGCAAUGGAUAAAGCUAUGGAGUUGGAGCUAAUUGAAGGCUUUCAAGAUGUUAUUCUUAGAUAGAAUUUUACUCAUUUACAAUUCGCGGACGACACUAUACUAUUCUUAAGAGUAGAUGAAAAGGAGGUGAGCAAUGCGAAGUAUAUUUUAUUGUGUUUUGAGAUCUUUUCUGGUCUUAGUAUCAAUUUCAAAAAAUCUUGUCUAGUGGGGUUCAAUGUAAAUGAAGAAAUAUUAUAUCAAAUGGCAGCAAUAUACAAGUGCAAGAUAGGGUCUUUGCCUUACAAUUACUUGGGGAUUCUAUUGGGAGCAGAUCCAAGGAGAGUAGCCAGUUGACCUUAUUGUAGAGAGAUUUAGAAAGAAAUUAUCGGGAUGAAAAUGUCAUACGCUCUCAUGGGCUACAAAGAUAAUGUUAAUCAAUUUUGUUUUGUCAUUUUUACCAAUUUAUUUCAUGUCAUUAUUUCAAGCUCUUGCGACGGUAAUUAAAAAGAUCGACAAGAUAAGGAGGGAUUUUCUUUGAGGGAGUAUGGAUGGUAAAAAGAAUAUGGCUAAGAUUAAUUGGAAAAAAGCCUACUAAAUAUAAUUAAUGAAAACUACACAACUAACCAUUCAACUAUUAAUAUGUUUCUAUUUUGUUCACCUAAGUGUAAAAUAUCCUAUUUUUCACUAACGUUACCAAAAUUUGAUAUUUUAGUUACUCCUCACUUAAAUCACUAAUGGAGUGCUCAUAACUAUUUUUAUUGGCAUAAUAACAAAUUGAGUAAAGUAUAAGAAUAGUCACCUAAUUAUUUAGUUCGUUCUAUUUUGGUCGCUCAACUAAUUUUUUUUUACUUAGUCACACUACUUUUUGAAAUUAAAUAUUUUAGUCAUUCUUACUGUUUUUUUUUUUUUUUUUGCAACAUUCGAUUGCACUGUCAAAGAAAACAGAGCAGCAUCCAAAAACAGAAAAAGAAGCAACAAAAAGCAUAAUGAAGUCACAAUCCAAAUACCACGUACGAAACUGCUAAUUCUUGAAUAGAAAACCUCACCACCACGCUUUAAACAUAUGCGGCUGAUUAACACCAUCCAUCGCUAAAGACGAUGCCAAAACAAUACCUUUCCGAUCAUCCAGAGAGAAAACAACAUUACCCACCUACAAAAUUGCAGACUCAAUUUCUGCAAAAACUGGCGAAAAGGAGAAAUUAACAUAAAAGGAGAAAUGUCUUGAUGUAUUUAAGGAGAACUUGGAAUACAUUGAGAACUUUAACAAUGGCGGAAAUAGGAGUUUUAAGUUAGGCUUUAAUAGAGUUGCAGACAUGACACAGGAUGAAUUCAUUGCAACUCACACCGGAUACAAGAUGCAGAACAAUCCCACAAUGUCCGAAUCAACAUCGUUUAUGUAUGAAAGCUACUCAAACGCUCCGACAAACUUCGAUUGGAGGGACCAAAAUACCGUCACUCCUAUUAAGUAUAAGGGUCGAUGUGGUAAGUCUUAUAUAUAUAAACCCUUAAAUUCUUGACUGUUACAAAAAUAUUUUAAUAAUUUUAUAAUUGAAUUGGUUUUUAGUUAAAUACUUGACUGAAUUGGUGUUAUAAAAAUAUUUUAAUAAUUUUAUAAUUGAAUUGUUUUUUAGUUAACUUAAACACAAAAUCAUUUUAAAGUUUAAAAUAAUUAGAUAUAUAUUGUUCCGCCAAGCAUUUAUUUAUUUAUUCACUAAUACUAGAAAAGGGUUAUUUGUUGGUUUACUUUCCAGAAUAGAGGAUGGAUGAUGAAUGCUUUCGACUACAUUAGCCAAAACCAAGGAAUAACCACCGAAAAAAGCUAUCGAUAUCAACAAAUGCAAGAAACUUGCGACACACAGAUAAACAAAGUUGCCACCAUCAGUGACUAUCGAAUGGUGCCUGAAAACGACGAAGAAGCAUUGCUUAAGGCCGUCACGAAUCAACCGGUCUCGGUUGCACUUGAAGGCCAUGGACGAGACUUUCAGUUUUACAAUGGUGGAGUGUUUACAGGAGAUUGUGGAAAUUCUCUCACCCAUGCAGUCACCACUGUUGGAUACGGGACAAGUGAAGAAGGUUUAAACUAUAGGCUGAUUAAGAAUUCAUAGGGACAAAGAUGGGGUGAAAAUGGGUAUAUGAAGAUUCAAAGGAAUGUGGAAACGCAAGGUGGC
rnacentral:lncRNA from 1 species